rnacentral:rRNA from 1 species
AUUGAACGCUGGCGGAAUGCUUUACACAUGCAAGUCGAGCGGCAGCGCGGGGCAACCUGGCGGCGAGCGGCGAACGGGUGAGUAAUACAUCGGAACGUGCCCAGACGUGGGGGAUAACUACUCGAAAGAGUGGCUAAUACCGCACACGAUCUAAGGAUGAAAGCGGGGGAUCGCAAGACCUCGCGCGUUUGGAGCGGCCGAUGGCAGAUUAGGUAGUUGGUGGGGUAAAGGCUUACCAAGCCCGCGAUCUGUAGCUGGUCUGAGAGGAUGAUCAGCCACACUGGGACUGAGACACGGCCCAGACUCCUACGGGAGGCAGCAGUGGGGAAUUUUGGACAAUGGGCGAAAGCCUGAUCCAGCCAUUCCGCGUGCAGGAUGAAGGCCCUCGGGUUGUAAACUGCUUUUGUACAGAACGAAAAAGACUCUUUCUAAUACAGAGAGUCCAUGACGGUACUGUAAGAAUAAGCACCGGCUAACUACGUGCCAGCAGCCGCGGU